rnacentral:misc_RNA from 1 species
GAUGAAGAACGUAGCGAAAUGCGAUAAGUAAUGUGAAUUGCAGAAUUCAGUGAAUCAUCGAAUCUUUGAACGCACCUUGCGCCCUUUGGCCAUUCCGAAGGGCAUGCCUGUUUGAGUAUCAUGAACACCUCAACUCUUUAUGGUUUUCCAUGAUGAGCUUGGACUCUGGGGGUUUUGCUGGCUCACAGUCGGCUCCUCUAAAAUGAAUCAGCUUACCAGUGUUUGGUGGGUAUCAUGGGUGUGAUAACUAUCUACGCUUGUGGUUUUUCCACCAGGUAACCUUCAGCAGUGGAGGUUCGCUGGAGCUCAUAGAUGUCUCUCCACAGUGAGGACAGCCCUUUGAAUGUUUGAUCUCAAAUCAGGUAGGACUACCCGCUGAACUUAAGCAUAUCAAUAAGCGGAGGA